rnacentral:rRNA from 1 species
ACGGCCGUACCAUGCUGAAUAUAUCGGUUCUCGUUAGAUCACCGAAGUUAAGCAUCAUUGGGCGCGGUCAGUACUUGGGUGGGUGACCACCUGGGAACACUGCGUGCCGUU